UUAAGCGACUAAGCGUACACGGUGGAUGCCCUGGCAGUCAGAGGCGAUGAAGGACGUGCUAAUCUGCGAUAAGCGUCGGUAAGGUGAUAUGAACCGUUAUAACCGGCGAUUUCCGAAUGGGGAAACCCAGUGUGAUUCGUCACACUAUCAUUAACUGAAUACAUAGGUUAAUGAGGCGAACCGGGGGAACUGAAACAUCUAAGUACCCCGAGGAAAAGAAAUCAACCGAGAUUCCCCCAGUAGCGGCGAGCGAACGGGGAGGAGCCCAGAGCCUGAAUCAGUGUGUGUGUUAGUGGAAGCGUCUGGAAAGGCGCGCGAUACAGGGUGACAGCCCCGUACACAAAAAUGCACAUAUUGUGAGCUCGAUGAGUAGGGCGGGACACGUGGUAUCCUGUCUGAAUAUGGGGGGACCAUCCUCCAAGGCUAAAUACUCCUGACUGACCGAUAGUGAACCAGUACCGUGAGGGAAAGGCGAAAAGAACCCCGGCGAGGGGAGUGAAAAAGAACCUGAAACCGUGUACGUACAAGCAGUGGGAGCCUCUUUAUGGGGUGACUGCGUACCUUUUGUAUAAUGGGUCAGCGACUUAUAUUCUGUAGCAAGGUUAACCGAAUAGGGGAGCCGAAGGGAAACCGAGUCUUAACUGGGCGUUAAGUUGCAGGGUAUAGACCCGAAACCCGGUGAUCUAGCCAUGGGCAGGUUGAAGGUUGGGUAACACUAACUGGAGGACCGAACCGACUAAUGUUGAAAAAUUAGCGGAUGACUUGUGGCUGGGGGUGAAAGGCCAAUCAAACCGGGAGAUAGCUGGUUCUCCCCGAAAGCUAUUUAGGUAGCGCCUCGUGAAUUCAUCUCCGGGGGUAGAGCACUGUUUCGGCAAGGGGGUCAUCCCGACUUACCAACCCGAUGCAAACUGCGAAUACCGGAGAAUGUUAUCACGGGAGACACACGGCGGGUGCUAACGUCCGUCGUGAAGAGGGAAACAACCCAGACCGCCAGCUAAGGUCCCAAAGUCAUGGUUAAGUGGGAAACGAUGUGGGAAGGCCCAGACAGCCAGGAUGUUGGCUUAGAAGCAGCCAUCAUUUAAAGAAAGCGUAAUAGCUCACUGGUCGAGUCGGCCUGCGCGGAAGAUGUAACGGGGCUAAACCAUGCACCGAAGCUGCGGCAGCGACGCUUAUGCGUUGUUGGGUAGGGGAGCGUUCUGUAAGCCUGUGAAGGUGUGCUGUGAGGCAUGCUGGAGGUAUCAGAAGUGCGAAUGCUGACAUAAGUAACGAUAAAGCGGGUGAAAAGCCCGCUCGCCGGAAGACCAAGGGUUCCUGUCCAACGUUAAUCGGGGCAGGGUGAGUCGACCCCUAAGGCGAGGCCGAAAGGCGUAGUCGAUGGGAAACAGGUUAAUAUUCCUGUACUUGGUGUUACUGCGAAGGGGGGACGGAGAAGGCUAUGUUGACCGGGCGACGGUUGUCCCGGUUUAAGCGUGUAGGCUGGUUUUCCAGGCAAAUCCGGAAAAUCAAGGCUGAGGCGUGAUGACGAGGCACUACGGUGCUGAAGCAACAAAUGCCCUGCUUCCAGGAAAAGCCUCUAAGCAUCAGGUAACAUCAAAUCGUACCCCAAACCGACACAGGUGGUCAGGUAGAGAAUACCAAGGCGCUUGAGAGAACUCGGGUGAAGGAACUAGGCAAAAUGGUGCCGUAACUUCGGGAGAAGGCACGCUGAUAUGUAGGUGAAGCGACUUGCUCGUGGAGCUGAAAUCAGUCGAAGAUACCAGCUGGCUGCAACUGUUUAUUAAAAACACAGCACUGUGCAAACACGAAAGUGGACGUAUACGGUGUGACGCCUGCCCGGUGCCGGAAGGUUAAUUGAUGGGGUCAGCGCAAGCGAAGCUCUUGAUCGAAGCCCCGGUAAACGGCGGCCGUAACUAUAACGGUCCUAAGGUAGCGAAAUUCCUUGUCGGGUAAGUUCCGACCUGCACGAAUGGCGUAAUGAUGGCCAGGCUGUCUCCACCCGAGACUCAGUGAAAUUGAACUCGCUGUGAAGAUGCAGUGUACCCGCGGCAAGACGGAAAGACCCCGUGAACCUUUACUAUAGCUUGACACUGAACAUUGAGCCUUGAUGUGUAGGAUAGGUGGGAGGCUUUGAAGUGUGGACGCCAGUCUGCAUGGAGCCGACCUUGAAAUACCACCCUUUAAUGUUUGAUGUUCUAACGUUGACCCGUAAUCCGGGUUGCGGACAGUGUCUGGUGGGUAGUUUGACUGGGGCGGUCUCCUCCUAAAGAGUAACGGAGGAGCACGAAGGUUGGCUAAUCCUGGUCGGACAUCAGGAGGUUAGUGCAAUGGCAUAAGCCAGCUUGACUGCGAGCGUGACGGCGCGAGCAGGUGCGAAAGCAGGUCAUAGUGAUCCGGUGGUUCUGAAUGGAAGGGCCAUCGCUCAACGGAUAAAAGGUACUCCGGGGAUAACAGGCUGAUACCGCCCAAGAGUUCAUAUCGACGGCGGUGUUUGGCACCUCGAUGUCGGCUCAUCACAUCCUGGGGCUGAAGUAGGUCCCAAGGGUAUGGCUGUUCGCCAUUUAAAGUGGUACGCGAGCUGGGUUUAGAACGUCGUGAGACAGUUCGGUCCCUAUCUGCCGUGGGCGCUGGAGAACUGAGGGGUGCUGCUCCUAGUACGAGAGGACCGGAGUGGACGCAUCACUGGUGUUCGGGUUGUCAUGCCAAUGGCACUGCCCGGUAGCUAAAUGCGGAAGAGAUAAGUGCUGAAAGCAUCUAAGCACGAAACUUGCCCCGAGAUGAGUUCUCCCUGACCCUUUAAGGGUCCUGAAGGAACGUUGAAGACGACGACGUUGAUAGGCCGGGUGUGUAAGCGCAGCGAUGCGUUGAGCUAACCGGUACUAAUGAACCGUGAGGCUUAACCUU
rnacentral:rRNA from 1 species